UGUGUAGGCGGUUGUUUAAGUUUGGUGUGAAAUCUCCCGGCUCAACUGGGAGGGUGCGCCGAAUACUGAGCGACUAGAGUGCGGGAGAGGAAAGUGGAAUUCCUGGUGUAGCGGUGAAAUGCGUAGAUAUCAGGAGGAACACCGGUGGUGUAGACGGCUUUCUGGACCGUAACUGACGCUGAGACACGAAAGCGUGGGUAGCAAACAGGAUUAGAUACCCUGGUAGUCCACGCCCUAAACGAUGCAUAUUUGGUGUGGGCAGUUCAUUCUGUCUGUGCCGGAGCUAACGCGUUAAAUAUGCCGCCUGGGGAGUACAGUCGCAAGGCUGAA
rnacentral:rRNA from 1 species